GUUAGAGUCCUCUCCAAAAGGGUGGAAGUCCCUACACGUGUUUUGUCUUUGUCAAAGUCCCGUUACUUGAGAUCUUACAAAGGUGAUCCCAGAGGUAUUAGAUGUAAUUUGGUUAAAAAUGAGCAAGAGAAAAAACUAAAUGUAUUUUUAUUUGUAGUUUAAUUGUAAUUUGGUUUUAAGCUGUGAUAAUGUUUAAUAAUAAUUAAUAAAUGGUAUUAGUGCAUGAAGAGGGUUAUUAUAACAUUCAGUUCUGAAAAUAAUUUGGGAAGACUCAUCAAGUCUGAUAAAUUGUGGUUAUGAUGGUUUGAGCUAAUUGGCUCGUUUUGAACUGCAGCAAAACGAGUUAUGAAGUUCUAUAGAAAAUAUAGUUGGGAAAAAUGUUUGGUUAAUAGCUACAUUAAGAACAUUAUUUGGUCUAUAUUUAAUUUAAGAAGCAUAUGGAUUCUGGUUUGGCAUAAUGAAAAUUGCUUUUAUCAUAUCUUUGAUAAAAAUAGGUGUGAUUUGGUAAAAUAGUCACAAGAGGACCUUAUGUUACUAAGGAAUCUGUUUCUUUAUGUGCUGAUUUGAGCCAUGGGAUGAAUCAUGUCUCAAACAGGAGGGAUGGAGAUAACGAAAGAGUGUUUAUAGCAUAUGGAUUUAAAAAUUAUUCAAGAAAACUUUAAGAAAUAACUUUUUUAGCAUACCCUAUUUGUGCAAACAUGAUAUGCAUGAACUUUAUUGAACUAAAGAAAUGUGAAGGGGAAAAUACUGCCUGGUAAUUAUAGAUACAGUAUGUUUACUAUGUGAAUUUAAGUCUUUUCCAGUCCUAUACCAGAUGCAUAACGCCAUUUGAAUUGAUUUAUUGGAGAUCAUAUGUAAUACCACAACUUAAACCUUUCACAUAGCAUGAUGAAAAGGCGAAUCAAAUGGUUAACCAAUUUUAUAAAAAAUGCUAACUAGAAAAGAGACAUCUUCUGCUAAAUUCUGU